AACGAACGCUGGCGGCGUGGAUAAGACAUGCAAGUCGAACGAGAGAAUUGCUAGCUUGCUAAUAAUUCUCUAGUGGCGCACGGGUGAGUAACACGUGAGUAACCUGCCCCCGAGAGCGGGAUAGCCCUGGGAAACUGGGAUUAAUACCGCAUAGUAUCGAAAGAUUAAAGCAGCAAUGCGCUUGGGGAUGGGCUCGCGGCCUAUUAGUUAGUUGGUGAGGUAACGGCUCACCAAGGCGAUGACGGGUAGCCGGUCUGAGAGGAUGUCCGGCCACACUGGAACUGAGACACGGUCCAGACACCUACGGGUGGCAGCAGUCGAGAAUCAUUCACAAUGGGGGAAACCCUGAUGGUGCGACGCCGCGUGGGGGAAUGAAGGUCUUCGGAUUGUAAACCCCUGUCAUGUGGGAGCAAAUUAAAAAGAUAGUACCACAAGAGGAAGAGACGGCUAACUCUGUGCCAGCAGCCGCGGUAAUACAGAGGUCUCAAGCGUUGUUCGGAAUCACUGGGCGUAAAGCGUGCGUAGGCUGUUUCGUAAGUCGUGUGUGAAAGGCGCGGGCUCAACCCGCGGACGGCACAUGAUACUGCGAGACUAGAGUAAUGGAGGGGGAACCGGAAUUCUCGGUGUAGCAGUGAAAUGCGUAGAUAUCGAGAGGAACACUCGUGGCGAAGGCGGGUUCCUGGACAUUAACUGACGCUGAGGCACGAAGGCCAGGGGAGCGAAAGGGAUUAGAUACCCCUGUAGUCCUGGCAGUAAACGGUGCACGCUUGGUGUGCGGGGAAUCGACCCCCUGCGUGCCGGAGCUAACGCGUUAAGCGUGCCGCCUGGGGAGUACGGUCGCAAGAUUAAAACUCAAAGAAAUUGACGGGGACCCGCACAAGCGGUGGAGUAUGUGGCUUAAUUCGAUGCAACGCGAAGAACCUUACCUGGGCUUGACAUGUAAUGAACAACAUGUGAAAGCAUGCGACUCUUCGGAGGCGUUACACAGGUGCUGCAUGGCCGUCGUCAGCUCGUGUCGUGAGAUGUUUGGUUAAGUCCAGCAACGAGCGCAACCCCUGUUGCCAGUUACCAGCACGUGAAGGUGGGGACUCUGGCGAGACUGCCCAGAUCAACUGGGAGGAAGGUGGGGACGACGUCAGGUCAGUAUGGCCCUUAUGCCCAGGGCUGCACACGUACUACAAUGCCCAGUACAGAGGGGGCCGAAGCCGCGAGGCGGAGGAAAUCCUGAAAACUGGGCCCAGUUCGGACUGUAGGCUGCAACCCGCCUACACGAAGCCGGAAUCGCUAGUAAUGGCGCAUCAGCUACGGCGCCGUGAAUAAAAUCCCGCGUCUUGCACA
rnacentral:rRNA from 1 species